GCCGGGUGAGGUGGCUCACACCUGUAAUCCCAGCACUUUGGGAGGCCGAGGCGGGUGGAUCACCUGAGGUCAGGAGUUCAAGACCAGCCUGGCCAACAUGGUGAAACCCCGUCUCUA
rnacentral:sRNA from 1 species